rnacentral:rRNA from 1 species
CGCCUAACACAUGCAAGUCGAACGAAGUAGCAAUACUUAGUGGCAGACGGGUGAGUAACAUGUAGGUAUCUGCCCUUUGGCCUGGAAUAACACGAGGAAACUUGUGCUAAUACCGGAUAAGUCUUUACGGAGAAAGCUUUAUGCACCAUUGGAUGAGCCUGCACUUGAUUAGUUUGUUGGUAGGGUAAUGGCCUACCAAGACUUUGAUCAAUAGCUGAUUUGAGAGGAUGAUCAGCCACAUUGGGACUGAGACACGGCCCAAACUCCUACGGGAGGCAGCAGUGGGGAAUCUUGCACAAUGGAGGAAACUCUGAUGCAGCGAUGCCGCGUGAGUGAAGAAGGCCUUUGGGUUGUAAAGCUCUUUCGUCGGGGAAGAAAAUGACUGUACCCGAAUAAGAAGGUCCGGCUAACUUCGUGCCAGCAGCCGCGGUAAUACGAAGGGACCUAGCGUAGUUCGGAAUUACUGGGCUUAAAGAGUUCGUAGGUGGUUGAAAAAGUUGGUGGUGAAAUCCCAGAGCUUAACUCUGGAACUGCCAUCAAAACUUUUCAGCUAGAGUUUGAUAGAGGAAAGCAGAAUUUCUAGUGUAGAGGUGAAAUUCGUAGAUAUUAGAAAGAAUACCAAUUGCGAAGGCAGCUUUCUGGAUCAUUACUGACACUGAGGAACGAAAGCAUGGGUAGCGAAGAGGAUUAGAUACCCUCGUAGUCCAUGCCGUAAACGAUGUGUGUUAGACGUUGGAAAUUUAUUUUCAGUGUCGCAGCGAAAGCGAUAAACACACCGCCUGGGGAGUACGACCGC